ACUCGGUCUUCGCUGAUUUCGAGUCUUGUAAAUUUUAAAUAUUUUUAAUUAAUAUGAAACGUUAUAUUUUUAGAUUUUUAUUAAUUAAGGCAUCAAAAUGAAAAUCAAAUCGAUGAAAAUGGGGAAGAAUUAAAUCCACGAUUUCCUCUAUAUAUACGAUGGACGUUGGUCGUUCCUUAUACAACUUUGUAGUAUUAGACUAUAGCAAUCUUUUGGCAAAAGUUCGGAAUAAUACAAUUGUGUCGUGCUUGUCUAAAUAUAUUAAUAUCUGGUAUUAUUGAAAGUGGUAUUCUAAUUAAAGUUCAUAGUUGCCAAAUUAAACAUAAAAAAUCAAGUCAGUGAAGCAAACAAUACUGCAUUUUUCACACAAAAAUACACUCUUUCCAUUACACAAACAUAUUUUUUUUUCAUUUCUUUAUACAUAUUAAAACCUAUUAAAUUUAUAUCGUAAAUGCAUAUUUUUCAUGAUUAUCAAUUUUAAUAUAAAAGUAAUAGUAAUCCAAUAAACUUAAUUAAUUUUUAAGAAUUUAUUAUUAUCAAAUAACAUAAAAAUUAUGUAUUUGUGAAACAAAAAUUUCCCAAAAAUUUGUUUUAUUUUUGUGGAACGGAGUAAGUAUGAGUUUUAUAUGUUUUACUUCGAAAAAUGCUCUAGUAUAAUUUUGUUUUGAACAUUAAUGCUCUGGUAUAAUUUGCUAGGGUUAUAAACCUUUGUUCUAAAAUCUAAAAUCCAUGUACUUCGCCUAAAAACAUAUGAAUUGUAUUUAUUUUCUUUCGAUCGUUGGAGGUAAUAAAAGUGGAUGAAGUAACACGUAUCAACGUUGGUAUGUACAACCGUUUUGGAAUAUUUUGUAAAACACCGAAAUGACACUUCAACCAUCACAGAAGGCAACACUAUUCCAUCAUUUUUUCUUUGCAGUUAUUGGUUUAGUGAUUGGUUUCAAUGAUAUUUACUUAGUUCAAUGGCUAUAAAAUAAAAUAUUCAACAAGUAGCGACCAGCGAGUGAUGUCCACCUUAUGUGUUAUUACACCCAAUUGAAUUUCUUAAGAACUUUUGGAAAUCUAAGUUAUUUUAAAACAAGAUAAUAUAUGCACUCUCUAAAAUUAUAAAAUAUGCGUUGAAAGAAAUAAUUUAUGCCAAAAUAUAUGUGUAGGAAAUAUCUGAUAGCUCAAAAAUAUAAAAUUAAAUUGACACUUGACAAUGAAGCUUUUGACAUACAAAGCAAAAAAUAUAGUACUCCCACUGUUCCUAAAAAUAAGAUUUUAUAAAGUGUUCAGGUUUAUUAAGAAUUCAAUAAAUGUUUAUAAUUUAUUUAUUUUUUACUUUAUUAUACACUUUCCAAUAAUUUUUCACCAAUGAAAUUUAAUCAAUUCAAAUAUUUUCAUUUAAUGUUUUUUAAAAGUAUAAAAAAUACCUUAAACGUAUAGAAAAUCUAUCUUUGUGGAACAAGUAAAAAAUUUAAAACAUCUUACUUUCGGGAAUGGAAAGAGUAUCACCGAGCGCUUGAUGUACACUAUUCAUAUAAAAGUUACCGAGAAUCGUUUCUUAAUAUGCAAGAAGAGUUGAAAGUAAGAAAAGAUCAAUAUCUAUAUCUAUAUAUAUAUAAUAAUGUCUGCCUCUCUCCUGGGCUGCCACCUAGGAUCCAGGUCAAAAAGUCGUUCAACCUGCUGCUGACACGUGUCAAAUUUUUAAACCCAACGAGUUUCGUUUCUGAUCAUUUUUUAUUUGGGCUCGACAUAUGCUCUAAGUGUUAUUUGUUACGGGCCUGUUUUGAAAUCAAAUGAAGCCCAUAUGUAGAGUCAAGAGUUAAAUACUUUUCUAGACUCGGCCCCUAACCAUCGUCGAGGUUAACUCGGCCCCUAACCAUCGUCGAAGUUCUUCAUCUCUUCAUUUCACCGGCGACCAAAACCUUCGAACGUUACGGAAUCAGUCUGGAUUGAAGCGUCAUCUUUAAAGCGCUCUCAGUAACAAUAACAUCUCCAAUGACUUCCUCCCUCUGGAUCUUCAACUAUAAAAAGGAAAGAACUUUGGAGUGGAGAUUUGACAAGAGAAUUGAGUGGCAACACGACAGAGAGUCAAGAUACAGAUGUUAACUAAACUGAAUGUGAUUUUUAUGUUCAUACUUCUUUGAAUUUAGUUUAUGUUCAUUUAAUGUUUUCUUCUGAUUUAGAUUCCCAGGCUGGAAAAAUGGAUCUGAGAGCGAGUGGAUCCACAUGGAGAUCAAAAUCCAAAUCAGAAGCCAAGGAUUCUUAUGAAUAAAGAUAAGAAGAGAUGCGAGAGACGUGACCAACAGUUUCUCCAACAAAAGCCAAAGAUAUCAAAUAAUUACGCGGAGGAGGACAUGUCCAUGAAGCUACAUUAGAGAAGAUAUGUGGAAAAAUAUCAAGGAAAUAAAAUUACAAGAAGCGAAACUAAAGGCUGGCCAGUAGAAGAAAUCCCACUCUAAACAGGUUGGAACAAAAAAAAACAUCAAGGUUAGAGUUUUCAUCAAGAGCAUCUAUAAAAUGUGGAGUUAGAGCUAUUUCUGACGGAGAGCUCGAACUUUUGAUGGAAGCAGUAGAUGGAGGAAUGAGAACGUAAGGCUUUGCAGUAGUGAAAUAACUGACUCGAUCCUCAAAAGGAUUUUAGAGAUGCAGUGGUUGAGAUGAUCAUGGAAUAUGGUAUCAACCACCCAGAAGAACUCAAGCAGGUUCACAGAUGUUAUACCAGUAAAAAAAAACAUGAUCCAGCGAAAGUUUAUUAUUAUCAAAAGAACAUUUUAGGAUCAUCAUCAGCUUACGUUCAAAUCAUGGAUAUUGGUUAAAGUAGUGUAAAGCUUAUAUGAUUUUUUCCCAACAUCAGUAAAAUUAAUUAAAUAACUUGAUUGUA